rnacentral:rRNA from 1 species
GAUGAACGCUGGCGGCGUGCCUAAUACAUGCAAGUCGAGCGAACGGACGAGAAGCUUGCUUCUCUGAUGUUAGCGGCGGACGGGUGAGUAACACGUGGAUAACCUACCUAUAAGACUGGGAUAACUUCGGGAAACCGGAGCUAAUACCGGAUAAUAUUUUGAACCGCAUGGUUCAAAAGUGAAAGACGGUCUUGCUGUCACUUAUAGAUGGAUCCGCGCUGCAUUAGCUAGUUGGUAAGGUAACGGCUUACCAAGGCAACGAUGCAUAGCCGACCUGAGAGGGUGAUCGGCCACACUGGAACGGAGACACGGUCCAGACUCCUACGGGAGGCAGCAGUAGGGAAUCUUCCGCAAUGGGCGAAAGCCUGACGGAGCAACGCCGCGUGAGUGAUGAAGGUCUUCGGAUCGUAAAACUCUGUUAUUAGGGAAGAACAUAUGUGUAAGUAACUGUGCACAUCUUGACGGUACCUAAUCAGAAAGCCACGGCUAACUACGUGCCAGCAGCCGCGGUAAUACGUAGGUGGCAAGCGUUAUCCGGAAUUAUUGGGCGUAAAGCGCGCGUAGGCGGUUUUUUAAGUCUGAUGUGAAAGCCCACGGCUCAACCGUGGAGGGUCAUUGGAAACUGGAAAACUUGAGUGCAGAAGAGGAAAGUGGAAUUCCAUGUGUAGCGGUGAAAUGCGCAGAGAUAUGGAGGAACACCAGUGGCGAAGGCGACUUUCUGGUCUGUAACUGACGCUGAUGUGCGAAAGCGUGGGGAUCAAACAGGAUUAGAUACCCUGGUAGUCCACGCCGUAAACGAUGAGUGCUAAGUGUUAGGGGGUUUCCGCCCCUUAGUGCUGCAGCUAACGCAUUAAGCACUCCGCCUGGGGAGUACGACCGCAAGGUUGAAACUCAAAGGAAUUGACGGGGACCCGCACAAGCGGUGGAGCAUGUGGUUUAAUUCGAAGCAGCGCGAAGAACCUUACCAAAUCUUGACAUCCUUUGACAACUCUAGAGAUAGAGCCUUCCCCUUCGGGGGACAAAGUGACAGGUGGUGCAUGGUUGUCGUCAGCUCGUGUCGUGAGAUGUUGGGUUAAGUCCCGCAACGAGCGCAACCCUUAAGCUUAGUUGCCAUCAUUAAGUUGGGCACUCUAAGUUGACUGCCGGUGACAAACCGGAGGAAGGUGGGGAUGACGUCAAAUCAUCAUGCCCCUUAUGAUUUGGGCUACACACGUGCUACAAUGGACAAUACAAAGGGCAGCGAAACCGCGAGGUCAAGCAAAUCCCAUAAAGUUGUUCUCAGUUCGGAUUGUAGUCUGCAACUCGACUACAUGAAGCUGGAAUCGCUAGUAAUCGUAGAUCAGCAUGCUACGGUGAAUACGUUCCCGGGUCU